rnacentral:ncRNA from 15 species
CUCUUAUCGAGAGCGGCGGAGGGAAUAGGCCCUGUGAAGCCCGGCAACCAUCAAGCGAAUUUUGCUUGAAAAGGUGCUAAUUCCUACAGGUAAUCUACCUGGAAGAUAAGAG